rnacentral:rRNA from 1 species
UACGGAGGGGGCGAGCGUUAUUCGGAAUUAUUGGGCGUAAAGCGCGUGUAGGCGGCCGUGCAAGUCGGGUGUGAAAGCCCUCAGCUCAACUGAGGAAGUGCGCCCGAAACUGCAUGGCUUGAGUACCGGAGAGGAUGGCGGAAUUCCCGAAGUAGAGGUGAAAUUCGUAGAUAUCGGGAGGAACACCGGUGGCGAAGGCGGCCAUCUGGACGGAUACUGACGCUGAGACGCGAAAGCGUGGGUAGCAAACAGG